UACGUAAGUGGCGAGCGUUGUCCGGAUUUAUUGGGCGUAAAGCGCGCGCAGGUGGUGCGGUAAGUCCUGUGUGAAAUCUCCCGGCUCAACUGGGAGGGUGCGGAGGAGACUGCCGGACUGGAGGCACUCAGAGGCCGGUGGAAUUCCCGGUGUAGUGGUGAAAUGCGUAGAGAUCGGGAGGAACACCAGUGGCGAAGGCGGCCGGCUGGGGGUGACCUGACGCUGAGGCGCGAAAGCGUGGGGAGCGAACCGG
rnacentral:rRNA from 1 species